GCCCCCGUAGCCCAACAGGCAGAGGCAGACGACUUAAAAUCGUCACAGUGUGGGUUCGAACCCCACCGGGGGCA
rnacentral:tRNA from 1 species